CCCUUUAAAAAAAAAAAAAAACAUCUGACUGCCAUAGUACUAUAGCCUUUAUGCAUUUUGACGACCCCAAUCAUCUCUCAUCAUCUGCCAGUGACAUCAUUUCCCUUUCUCCCCUCCACUUAAAAACGAGUCGCCAAAGACGAGACGUAUAGGAAUAACACAGUGGAGAAAAAGUCCACAGUAACCCAUUGAUCAGCAAAGGGAAAGAAUAAAGAGCCACUGACAGCAAUUUGUGUGACGGGUUCUAAUAAAACCAGUACGUCACGCGGGUGCUGUUGCUUGUCACCAAGACGUGGAAGAUAACGAUGACGAGUAGCUUGUGGAAAUGUCGAACAUUCAAAUAUCGUUAUUCAGCACAUGUCCCCGCUGUUGGAUUGAUUUGAGUGAUCUUGCUAUCCUUAUACAAUUGAUAAACUUAUCACUUUUCACUCUGUACUACUAAAACCUAAAUCAUCCUUCAGUUGUCAAAUUUUAGAAUUUUGACGCAAAGGACGGAUCCAGCAGUAAUAGCCUACUUUGAAAUAGACAAAACCCAUUUGUUGUGUCUAACUAGCUGAUCACUUGCUUGAUCCCUAACUAGAAAAAGUGGUUAAAACACUUCCUGUUCUGGCCCAUAUCAGAAGUUUUAAUCAUCAGCUUAUCAAGGGAUUGCCAAUUGCGCUGUAUCUUGCCAUUACAAACCAGUUGACCCGAACUUCACGUAGCUAUUUUAUCUCGUUCUUCUAAUGUUUGUAAAUUAUUUUUCCAGUCUGUUACAGGUUUAUUGCCGCUUCUUUUCCCGACGCAAGCGUUAGGCAGCGUUUGACGUCGGCGAUAACUGCUGCUUACACCACCUUACGGUUUUGAUUGCACGCUACUACAUUUCUCAAUACUAAAUAGCAACAACGUUUCAAUAAUUGUCAGAAAAUUGAACUCGAUUUUCCUCUAUGGAAGAAUGAAAUAUCAUUUUAUUUCGUUUAGAAAAAAUCUCCGCGCUCAGUUACGAGCAUUCUUUGGAAAAUGCUUCAAAUUUUAAUGAGAUUUGAAACGAAGGGGAUGUCAAAUGCUGGUUCCUGCUUUUUACCAUAAAGUAAGGGACCGACGAACAACAUACAGAUUGAAGAGACCACUGAUCGCCAAAUCGCCACAUCCUAGACGGCAACGUCUGUUUGUGCCACAGUGGAGAAGGGGCAGUGCCCUCACCAAGUGAUUGUUCCUUUUCGAUCUAGUCGUUAAGAACUGAAAGUUGUGACUGUCGCUUUAUUGCUUUGUAUAAUUUUGACGCACAAGCUAUCGUUCAUUGUAUUGUACAAGUGAUGGUAGAUUUGUGCCGUCAACGACUCCCUUAUCCGUUUCAAAUCAAUGGGAUUGCUGUAAAUUCAACAGUUCCUCACUCACCACAUUUGCCAAUGACAUGACGGACUGUUUUCUGAUCCUGAUACCCACUCCUUCCAACGAAAUGGUACUAUGGACAAAUACCCCAAGAGUAUAUCAUCCCAUUUUAAAUUUGUUAUCGUUUUCCUUUUACCUACCAUAAAACUGGUGGUCUUGUGUGGCAGCGCAAGCCUAACCUAGUCGCAACAACUGAUUCAGUACAAUGUUAUUUAGUCUACAGCCA
rnacentral:lncRNA from 1 species